AAAGACUACUUAGAAUUUGAAAUAUUGUAUUAUAAUGAAAUACCUCUUUAAAUAUAUCAGCCUUGGAAAAUGCAAGUUAGCCAACAGUUUCCACUUCAAAAUACAUUUCCUUUUUAAGGUCCUUCAAAACACUGUUCAGUUAUCACACUAACACUUUAGAUCAACUGCCUAAUACCAAAAAUAGAUUCAGAUUAGGUAUCACAUCCUCAGCACACUGGUGUUCCUUAGUUCUAAGACUGUUUUUGAUAGAGUAGGGUAUGCAAUUUUACACUGUUGAAAUAUUACACUUAGUGCUACAUGAACAUGGAAGUGUACAGGUUUCAUUGUAGCAGCACUGUUUAAUUACAUAAAGGAGGACGGCACUUCUCACUCAAAACCUCAGAAUUCCAAGAUCUGAUCAUAGUCUGCAGGAGCACUGCCAGCCAUCCUGGCACAGGUUUGGAAGGAGAUCAGAAGAGAGGACAGUAACAGACUACAGAUGUGAGUCUCUUCCAGUUACUACCAUCAGAUGUAGAUGUAUGACUAAGAGGUGUCACACUAUGAUCACAGGGUGUGUUCUCUUGACAAAUUCAAGAAGUGGCACCCUUGGAUCCCACUUUAAGGUCAAACAAGGCUAUGCUUUGUGUAAGACCACAACAGCAUGUGACACUGCAGUAGCCACCUCCCUACUGUGGUAGGCAAACUACUCCCUCUCUGCCCCUCCACGUCACUCCCUCUCGUUCUUAAUUCAUCUGAAGAGCAGAAGUUACCUACCCCCACACAUCAUGCUCACCUGCCCAUCUCUGAGGACUUGUAGUCACCCUUCCUGUGUCAUGUCUGAUUCACACCUCAAGGCAAUAAACUACUCUUUUUGAAU